rnacentral:rRNA from 1 species
UACAGAGGGGGGCAAGCGUUGUUCGGAAUUACUGGGCGUAAAGGGCGCGUAGGCGGCCUGUUAAGUCGAACGUGAAAUCCCCGGGCUCAACCCGGGAACUGCGUCCGAUACUGGCAGGCUUGAAUCCGGGAGAGGGAUGCGGAAUUCCAGGUGUAGCGGUGAAAUGCGUAGAUAUCUGGAGGAACACCGAUGGCGAAGGGCAGCCUCCUGGGCCAGCACUGACGCUCAUGCACGAAAGCGUGGGGAGCAAACAGG